UCCCUUCAGAUCUCCACUUGGCGGGGAAUG
rnacentral:piRNA from 1 species